rnacentral:lncRNA from 1 species
AUUAUUCUAGUUGUAAGUUGAAUUCCUUUUUGUGAUAAGUUUGAGGGAUAUUUCAUGCAAGGCGAUCUAAGAAGCGGGUUUUGAUUCAUUUCUUGGAUUGGAUCUUGAUUGUAAUGACUGAUUGCACAUUUGAUCCAUUAUUAGCCCUCCAUCUAAUAGUGAGGGAGAUGUUUUAGAGAAAGUGGGUUUUAAUUUGUUGAUGUGAUUCAGUCUAGAGAGAGAAAGAGAGAUUUGGUUUGAUCGUAAGAAGAGAGAAGAUAAUGUUGAGGUGGGUUUAGAUCUGUGAAUGUAUAUAGCAGUAGAGAGAGAAAUACUGAAGAGAAACUGUAUCCGGUCAUGGGGUUCAAAAUCAAAUAUUUGAGAGAAAUAUUAAAGAGAAAGAGAGAAGAUAUUAAAGAGUGAAGGUUGAUGUGGGUUUUCAUUUAUAAAUGUUAUUUUAUCAGUAGAGAGAGA